rnacentral:rRNA from 1 species
UCAGUAACGGCGAGUGAAGCGGCAAGAGCUCAAUUUGAAAGCUGGCUCCUUCGGAGUCCGCAUUGUAAUUUGCAGAGGAUGCUUUGGGUGCGGCCCCCGUCUAAGUGCCCUGGAACGGGCCGUCAGAGAGGGUGAGAAUCCCGUCUUGGGCGGGGUGUCCGUGCCCGUGUAAAGCUCCUUCGACGAGUCGAGUUGUUUGGGAAUGCAGCUCUAAAUGGGUGGUAAAUUUCAUCUAAAGCUAAAUACUGGCCGGAGACCGAUAGCGCACAAGUAGAGUGAUCGAAAGAUGAAAAGCACUUUGAAAAGAGAGUUAAACAGCACGUGAAAUUGUUGAAAGGGAAGCGCUUGCAACCAGACUCGCCCGCGGGGUUCAGCCGGCAUUCGUGCCGGUGUACUUCCCCGUGGGCGGGCCAGCGUCGGUUUGGGCGGCCGGUCAAAGGCCCCUGGAAUGUAGUGCCCUCCGGGGCACCUUAUAGCCAGGGGUGCAAUGCGGCCAGCCUAGACCGAGGAACGCGCUUCGGCUCGGACGCUGGCAUAAUGGUUGUAAACGACCCGUCUUGAAACACGGACCAAGGAGUCUAACAUCUACGCGAGUGUUCGGGUGUCAACCCGUGCGCGAAGUGAAAGCGAACGGAGGUGGGAGCCCCCCUCGUGGGGCGCACCAUCGACCGAUCCUGAUGUCUUCGGAUGGAUUUGAGUAAGAGCGUAAAUGUGGGGACCCGAAAGAUGGUGAACUAUGCCUGAAUAGGGCGAAGCCAGAGGAAACUCUGGUGGAGGCUCGCAGCGGUUCUGACGUGCAAAUCGAUCGUCAAAUUUGGGUAUAGGGGCGAAAGACUAAUCGAACCAUCUAGUAGCUGGUUCCUGCCGA